GCUAACAUAUCUACCUUCAAACAUACAUAAUUAAUAAACAAAACAUUUGAUCAACCUAGUAGAUGCGAUCGAACAGUAUCUUAGCACAUUAGUACCGCAAGGGAACCAUACAAGCACUAAACAGCAAAGAUUAACCCCUGUACCUUUUGCAUCAUGGUCUAGCAAGAAACUAAAGACAAGAAGAAUCAUAGCCUCCACCCCGAAACCAGAUGAGCUACUUUAGAGCAGCCUAUUGGGCACACCCUUCUCUGUAGCAAAAGAGUGGGAAGACUUAAAAGUAGAAGUGAAAUGCCUACCGAAUCUGGAGAUAGCUGGCUACCCCAUAAAAGAAUCUAAGUUCAACCUUAAACUAAAAUAAUAAUCACUUAUUAAUUAAGGACAAUCAAUAGGGGUACAGCCCUAUUGAAACAGGAUACAACCUGAAUUUGAGAGAAAAUAAAACUACAUAUUCCAGUAGGCCUUAAAGCAGCCACCUAAUAAAAUAUCGUUAAAGAAUUAAAUAAAUAAUCCCAAUAUAAAACAAAAACUCCAAAUCAACUAAAGGUAGACCCAUACUUAUGGGUCCUAUUAUGCUAGAACUAAUAAUAAGAUAACCUCUCUAUAUGCACCCUUCCCCUAGACACGGAUAAACCACUAGCUAUUAACAGACCAUAGUAGGAACCAACUUAAACAUAUACCCACCAAAAAUACAACUGUGAACCCAACACAGGCGCAUUAUAAAGAAAGAUUAACUAUUAUAAAAGGAACUCGGCAAACAAAGAUCCCAACUGUUUAACAAAAACAUAACCUUUAGCCAAACAAAUAUUAAAGGCAAUGCCUGCCCAGUGAAUAAUUAAACGGCCGCGGUACCCUAA
rnacentral:rRNA from 1 species